GCAACCUGGCGGCGAGUGGCGAACGGGUGAGUAAUAUAUCGGAACGUACCCAAGAGUGGGGGAUAACGUAGCGAAAGUUACGCUAAUACCGCAUACGAUCUAAGGAUGAAAGCAGGGGAUCUUCGGACCUUGUGCUCCUGGAGCGGCCGAUAUCUGAUUAGCUAGUUGGUGAGGUAAAGGCUCACCAAGGCCACGAUCAGUAGCUGGUCUGAGAGGACGACCAGCCACACUGGAACUGAGACACGGUCCAGACUCCUACGGGAGGCAGCAGUGGGGAAUUUUGGACAAUGGGCGAAAGCCUGAUCCAGCAAUGCCGCGUGAGUGAAGAAGGCCUUCGGGUUGUAAAGCUCUUUUGUCAGGGAAGAAACGGUGAGGGCUAAUAUCCUUCGCUAAUGACGGUACCUGAAGAAUAAGCACCGGCUAACUACGUGCCAGCAGCCGCGGUAAUACGUAGGGUGCAAGCGUUAAUCGGAAUUACUGGGCGUAAAGCGUGCGCAGGCGGUUUUGUAAGUCUGACGUGAAAUCCCCGG
rnacentral:rRNA from 2 species